AUACGUAGGGGGCGAGCGUUGUCCGAAUUUACUGGGCGUAAAGCGCGUGUAGGCGGUUCUUUAAGUCAGGUGUGAAAUCCUGUGGCUCAACCACAGAACUGCACUUGAAACUGAAGGGCUUGAGUGUGGGAGAGGAAAGUGGAAUUCCUGGUGUAGCGGUGAAAUGCGUAGAUAUCAGGAGGAACACCCGUGGCGAAGGCGGCUUUCUGGCCCACCACUGACGCUGAGACGCGAAAGCUAGGGGAGCGAACGGGAUUAGAUACCCCGGUAGUCCUAGCCGUAAACGAUGGAUACUAGGUGUUAGAGGUAUCGACCCCUCUAGUGCCGUAGCUAACGCAUUAAGUAUCCCGCCUGGGGAGUACGGCCGCAAGGUUGAA
rnacentral:rRNA from 1 species